AUCCAGCUGACGAGUCCCCAAAAAAGGACGAAACGUGCUUCCUAGAN
rnacentral:hammerhead_ribozyme from 1 species